AGCAUCCACAGCGCAUGGAGCGAAGGGAGCGUCGAUCCGGCGUGAAGAAACGUCCGCCGCGCUGGAGAACCGGCCAAGUGCGAGGCCGAGGCGAAGCCUAGACACGGGUUGAAGAGGAGGCGUGUGUGCAGGACGCGCCGUUUUUUUUUUAAAAAAAUUCUAAAUUCGUGAAUUUUGGCGAAGGAAACCUGUGAAUUUUGGCGAAGGAAAACUCUGGAGUGAAUUUUUGCUGGAAAAGAGACGCAGAUGGGGGGGAAGGGGGAAGGAGACGCAGAGUGGGGGGGAGAUGGAGUCAGUGGGAAGAGACGCAAGUGGGGGGGAAGGAAUGGAGUCAGUGGGGAAAGAAAGAAGAAAAGGGGAGUAGGUGGGUGGGGAAUUUUGUUUGUUUUUUUUUGUUUUUUUUCCUUUUAAAAUCUUAAUUAUUUAAAUUAUGUAAUUUUUUUAUUAUUUAAAUUGUGUAAUUUUUAUUUUUACUGCAAUGUUUAAUUUAAAUUUUAAUGAAAUUUGAAUUAAAAAUACAUUUGGUCUCAUUUUGGUCCGAUUGAGUCCUAGAAAAUUAGUGUAAUUUUUAUUUUUUUAUGGUAUUUAAAUUAUGUCUUUAAAUUAUUGUAAUGUUUAAUUUUAUUUUUAAUGAAAUUAGAAAUUUAAAAAUAAAAGUGUAGAAAUAUGAAUUUUGUGGAAAUGGGGAUUUAAGCACCCACCUAAGACACA
rnacentral:lncRNA from 1 species